GACGAACGCUGGCGGCGUGCUUAACACAUGCAAGUCGAACGGAAAGGCCCUGCUUUUGUGGGGUGCUCGAGUGGCGAACGGGUGAGUAACACGUGAGUAACCUGCCCUUGACUUUGGGAUAACUUCAGGAAACUGGGGCUAAUACCGGAUAGGAGCUCCUGCUGCAUGGUGGGGGUUGGAAAGUUUCGGCGGUUGGGGAUGGACUCGCGGCUUAUCAGCUUGUUGGUGGGGUAGUGGCUUACCAAGGCUUUGACGGGUAGCCGGCCUGGGAGGGUGACCGGCCACAUUGGGACUGAGAGACGGCCCAGACUCCUACGGGAGGCAGCAGUGGGGAGUAUUGCACAAUGGGCGGAAGCCUGAUGCAGCAACGCCGCGUGCGGGAUGACGGCCUUCGGGUUGUAAACCGCUUUCGCCUGUGACGAAGCGUGAGUGACGGUAAUGGGUAAAGAAGCACCGGCUAACUACGUG
rnacentral:rRNA from 1 species